AUUGAACGCUGGCGGCAGGCCUAACACAUGCAAGUCGAGCGCGAGGCGGACGGGUGAGUAAUGUGUGGGAAACUGCCUGAUGGAGGGGGAUAACUACUGUAAAAGGUAGCUAAUACCCCAUACCAUAGGCUGUGCCCAGAUGGGAUUAGCUAGUAGGUUGGGUAACGGCUCACAUAGGCGACGAUCCCUAGCUGGUCUGAGAGGGGGACCAGCCACACUGGAACUGAGACACGGGCCAGACUCCUACGGGAGGCAGCAGUGGGGAAUAUUGCACAAUGGGCGCAAGCCUGAUGCAGCCAUGCCGCGUGUGUGAAGAAGGCCUUCGGGUUGUAAAGCACUUUCAGCGGGGAGGCGUUACCCGCAGAAGAAGCACCGGCUAACGCCGUGCCAGCAGCCGCGGUAAUAC
rnacentral:rRNA from 1 species